GACAGCUCCAGCAAAAUGAGGACGUCUGGUCACCCUAGCUCUGGUUCUCAGCAGACUGUAGAAAAACAACAUGCAUAGGUAACACAAGGCAAACCACAAAUGGGACCAUGGUAUCAGCAUCUGUCUGGAUUGUAAAAUUGGGUAAAAAUAUAGCAUGUAUGUGUUUAUGAUAAACUAAAAAUGCACUUUUCUUUGUUUUAUGAUCUAAUGUCUAAUGUGCUUAAAUGAGUUCCUAUGAAUAGUCAGAAUGCAGCGUGAGUUUUCAGCCCAGUAAUAACUUCAGAGAAGCUGGACUGUCUCGCAGUGAUCCUGGCAUGCGAUCUCGGUGGCUUGGCUCUGCCUCAGAGGGAUCUGGCACUGUGACUCCUAGCAGUUCCAGCAUAUCCUCCACACAGACACACUGCUCUCCUAAUACAGGACAGAGAGCUUUCCGCUCUGCCAUACAGGGCAUCUCAUGUCACACGAUGUGGCUGUUUGUAUCCUUUAAGGAUCCAGUUCUAAUUCUAUCUCUCAGUGAAUGUGCGCAUGUCCUCGAGCUGAGUUACCCAACGACCCAGAGUUCACAGUGUUAAGUGGGUCAGACGUGACGCUGUGGCGUCUAGAGGAACGGUCUGUCAUAACCCUCACACUCCACAGUCCACAGUGUUAAAUAGGUCAGUCACAGCAGGUCACGCACAACCAUGUCCACCGUGGAGCAAUUUGUUUUGUGAAGUGUGUAAGUGUACGAAGUGUACAUGUGUGCUGUAAAUAUUAAUGUAAAGUUAUUUUUUUACCACAGUAGUAGCCUGGAAUGAAAUUUGGUGUUAGGGGUUUUCAAGCUUUUAGAUGCUACAACAAACCCCAAAAUAUGACCAAAAAGCAGCUAUAUAUUUUAAUGUAUAAAGACCCAUUUUACUGUAAAACUGAAUAUUACAAAUGUGCAAAAUAUUUUAUUACAUUAUUACUUUUCUUUUUUCGCUACUCAGGUACUGUACUAUUAAAUGUUUUUAUUUAUUUUUAACAAACAUUUUAUUAUUUGUUUAGUUUAUUCUAAUUUGCAAUAUAUCUAUAUUUUAAUUGUAACUUUUUUGUACUUUUUUAGUCGUCUUUCUCUAAACCUUUCUAUGGACCCCACAG
ensembl:lncRNA